CCUGAGUAUCAUCAGGUGUUUCAACAGGAACUGAUUCGACUUCCUCUCCGACGUCUUCUUCAAUUGGUGGAACAUGUUGAUCAUUUUCAACAUGUCUCUGCACAGCAUCUAAAGGGACCGCAUCCAAAUCCAUUAGCCCAUCACUUAACUCCUAUGAUGAUGUCUUUUCUGCCUUGUCAAUGUCUUCAAUGGUUUGAUCUUCCAUGAAGACUACAUC
rnacentral:lncRNA from 1 species